rnacentral:rRNA from 1 species
AUACAGAGGGUGCAAGCGUUGUUCGGAAUUAUUGGGCGUAAAGGGGCGCGUAGGCGGUGCGGUAAGUCUGUAGUGUAAAUCUACUGGGCUCAACUCAGAGUCUGCUGCAGAAACUGCCGUGCUUAGUGUGGGAGAGGUGAGUGGAAUUCCUGGUGUAGCGGUGAAAUGCGCAGAUAUCAGGAGGAACACCGAUGGCGAAGGCAGCUCGCUGGGACGGUACUGACGCUGAGGCGACGGAAAGCGUGGGGGAGCAAACAGG